rnacentral:rRNA from 1 species
UACGAAGGGGGCUAGCGUUGCUCGGAAUUACUGGGCGUAGAGCGCACGUAGGCGGCUUUCUAAGUCGGGGGUGAAAUCCUGGAGCUCAACUUCAGAACUGCCUUCGAUACUGGAGAGCUCGAGUCCGGGAGAGGUGAGUGGAACUGCGAGUGUAGAGGUGAAAUUCGUAGAUAUUCGCAAGAACACCAGUGGCGAAGGCGGCUCACUGGCCCGGUACUGACGCUGAGGUGCGAAAGCGUGGGGAGCAAACAGG